GACGGGGGAUGCAAGCGUUACCCGGAAUCACUGGGCGUAAAGCGCACGCAGGCGGCCUGGUAAGUCGGGCGUGAAAUCUCCCAGCUCAACUGGGAGAGGCCGUCCGAUACUGCUGGGCUUGAGGGCGGGAGAGGGAGGUGGAAUUCCCGGUGUAGCGGUGAAAUGCGUAGAGAUCGGGAGGAACGCCAGUGGGGAAGCCGGCCUCCUGGCCCGUCCCUGACGCUCAGGUGCGAAAGCCAGGGGAGCGAACGGG
rnacentral:rRNA from 1 species